UGCCCCAGUAACGGCGAGUGAAGCGGCAACAGCUCAAAUUUGAAAUCUGGCCCCCCCGGCCCGAGUUGUAAUUUGCAGAGGAUGCUUUUGGUGAGGCACCUACCGAGUCCCCUGGAAUGGGGCGCCAUAGAGGGUGAGAGCCCCGUAUGGUAGGACGCCGAACCUCUGUAAAGCUCCUUCGACGAGUCGAGUAGUUUGGGAAUGCUGCUCUAAAUGGGAGGUAAAUUUCUUCUAAAGCUAAAUACCGGCCAGAGACCGAUAGCGCACAAGUAGAGUGAUCGAAAGAUGAAAAGCACUUUGAAAAGAGGGUUAAAAAGUACGUGAAAUUGUUGAAAGGGAAGCGCUUGUGACCAGACUUGCGCCGGGCGGAUCAUCCAGCGUUCUCGCUGGUGCACUCCGCCCGGUUCAGGCCAGCAUCGGUUUUCGCCGGGGGACAAAGGCUUCGGGAACGUGGCUCCUUUCGGGGAGUGUUAUAGCCCGUUGCGUAAUACCCCGGCGGGGACCGACGACCGCGCUUCGGCAAGGAUGCUGGCGUAAUGGUCAUCAGCGACCCGUCUUGAAACACGGACCGAGGAGUCAAGCAUUAGUGCGAGUGUUUGGGUGUAAAACCCGCACGCGUAAUGAAAGUGAACGUAGGUGAGAGCUUCGGCGCAUCAUCGACCGAUCCUGAUGUUUUCGGAAGGAUUUGAGUAGGAGCAUUAACGCUUGGACCCGAAAGAUGGUGAACUAUACUUGAAUAGGGUGAAGCCA
rnacentral:rRNA from 1 species